AAGUCGAGGGGAAACGACAUCGAAAGCUUGCUUUUGAUGGGCGUCGACCGGCGCACGGGUGAGUAACGCGUAUCCAACCUGCCCACCACUUGGGGAUAACCUUGCGAAAGUAAGAUUAAUACCCGAUGGCAUUGGAUUCCCGCAUGGGGCUUCAAUUAAAGGUGUGAACUGGUAAAGGAUGGGGAUGCGUCUGAUUAGCUUGUUGGCGGGGUAACGGCCCACCAAGGCGACGAUCAGUAGCCGACCUGAGAGGGUGACCGGCCACAUUGGGACUGAGACACGGCCCAAACUCC
rnacentral:rRNA from 1 species